AGUGAACGCUGGCGGUAGGCCUAACACAUGCAAGUCGAACGGCAGCACAGUAAGAGCUUGCUCUUACGGGUGGCGAGUGGCGGACGGGUGAGGAAUACAUCGGCAUCUACUUUUUCGUGGGGGAUAACGUAGGGAAACUUACGCUAAUACCGCAUACGACCUACGGGUGAAAGCAGGGGAUCUUCGGACCUUGCGCGAUUGAAUGAGCCGAUGUCGGAUUAGCUAGUUGGCGGGGUAAAGGCCGACCAAGGCGACGAUCCGUAGCUGGUCUGAGAGGAUGAUCAGCAACACUGGAACUGAGACACGGUCCAGACUCCUACGGGAGGCAGCGGUGGGGAAUAUUGGACAAAGGGCGCAAGCCUGAUCCAGCCAUACCGCGUGGGUGAAGAAGGCCUUCGGGUUGUAAAGCCCUUUUGUUGGGAAAGAAAAGCAGCAGGUUAAUACCCCGCUGUUCUGACGGUACCCAAAGAAUAAGCACCGGCUAACUUCGUG
rnacentral:rRNA from 1 species